UCGGACUGCUUUCGCUUAUUGUGGACUCUGUCUGGACUCUUUCCUAUAAGUGGAGUAGAAUUAUUUUCAUCUUGAUGAUCAGACUCCUACUGGCCCACAGUAGUUCUCUGUUGGUUCUGGAAGACUUCUAAGGAUUCAGGAUAAGGAGUGUUUAGAUGGAUAAACCGUAACGCUGCGAUUCCUUUUUUUACAUUUAAAAGUCACUUUUCCUGAAAACAGUAACUGCAAGUGCCAAGAUAAUGCAGAAGCAAGUUGAAGUCAGGAUGCAUGAGAAUCAUCUGGAGCCACCAAUGGAAAAACCAGAGCCUGCCUGUUUUGGCAUCUGCCAAGGGCUAAGGAAAAACCUCCUUCUUACAAUAACAAUCCUUGGUGUCAUAAUUGGGUCCGUGGUAGGGAUGCUGCUGCGGUACAUCUCGCCGCUCCCCGCAGAUGUCAUUAUGGUCAUUGGCUUCCCUGGAGAGAUCCUGAUGAGAAUGCUGAAGAUGCUCAUCUUACCUCUCAUCAUUUCCAGUUUAAUCACAGGCCUGGCAGGAUUGGACGCAAAGUCGAGUGGACGCCUGGGGACGAGAGCCAUGGUGUACUACAUGUCCACCACGGUCAUCGCUGCUGUUUUGGGGGUGAUCCUAGUGCUUGCUAUUCACCCAGGCAACCCUAAGCUGAAGACAAAUCUUGGUCCAGGAAAGAAAAAUGAUGAGGUUUCAAGUUUAGAUGCUUUCUUUGACCUCAUCAGGAACCUCUUUCCAGAGAAUCUGGUGCAGGCUUGCUUUCAGCAGAUAUCCACUGUAACGAGUAAGACUGAAAUUCCUCCCCCUACCGUCAUGCGGAAUGGACGAAAUGUCACUAGAUCGCCACCAACAUUUACUGUCAAAAAAUCUCUGCAGUUCAGGAGUGGAAUGAAUGUAUUAGGCCUCAUUGGCUUCUUUGUGGCAUUUGGGAUCAUCAUGGGCAAGAUGGGAGAGAAGGCCAAGCUGAUGCUGGACUUCUUCAACUGCCUCAAUGAGAUCGUCAUGAGACUCGUUGGCUUGAUCAUGUGGUACUCUCCUGUUGGUAUUGCCUGUCUCAUCUGUGGGAAGAUCAUCUCCAUUAAUGAUCUGGAGAUGGUGGCCCGUCAGCUGGGGAUGUACAUGGUCACAGUCAUCGUGGGUCUCAUCAUCCAUGGUGCCAUAUUCCUGCCGUUGAUAUACUUCGUCAUAGUUAGAGAAAAUCCCUACCAGUUCUUCAUGGGAAUUUUCCAAGCCUGGGUCACUGCUUUGGGAACAGCGUCCAGUGCUGGUACUCUGCCUGUCACAUUCCGAUGCCUUGAGGAAAACCUUGGCAUUGAUAAGAGAGUGACUCGGUUUGUGCUCCCUGUUGGUGCAACCAUUAACAUGGAUGGUACAGCUCUCUAUGAAGCCGUGGCAGCCAUUUUCAUUGCUCAGAUGAAUGGAAUUGAUCUUGAUUAUGGUCAGAUUGCCACAGUCAGCUUAACGGCCACGCUAGCUAGUGUGGGUGCAGCUAGUAUUCCAAGUGCUGGUUUGGUGACCAUGAUUCUGAUCCUGACUGCUGUGGGACUGCCUACCUCAGACAUCAGUUUGCUGGUGGCAGUUGACUGGCUUCUGGAUCGGUUCAGAACUUCAGUGAACGUUGUUGGUGAUUCCUAUGGUGCUGGAAUUGUUUACCACCUUUCGAAAGAUGAGUUGGACACUCUUGAUGCACAGGCUAAAUUCGAUGAAAUGGAGAUGUCAAAAACGCAGUCCUUUUAUGAAAACAAUACCAACCAGCACGUAUACACCCAACGCCACUCCUGCCCACAAGUACUGAUUGAUGACUGCAAGGACGCCUAUGGAGAUAGAUAUGAUGAUUUGUGUUGAACAUGCCAAGCUGGCUUUGGCAUUUGUCGGUGGCUUGGGAAGAACAGUGACUUAGGUAACCUCAAAUGGCUCCCCUGCGGAGUUCUCUGUUGUUGAGGAGGAACCUUGGAUACGCGAGUAAUACAUCACACAGAUCCUGCUUCGCCUUAUCCUGAGUUCCUCAAGGUUUACCCUUCAUGAUGAAAAAUGAAAGAAACCCAAACAUCACUUUCUCAGAACUAAAACAAGUAAACAAUGAACUGGACACACACAUGCAACUCUGACACUCUGAACUGGAAUAUUGAUAGUGUAUACUUGCAAUCACUGGCAUGGAACUACCAAUGCUCUCAUACACAGUACCAGACCAUGACCAGACCAUGACAGGGGGCUAUACUGUAAGCCUUACCUUUGGGUGAAUGGCCUCUUAAGAGUGAAAAGCUAAAACAUGUUGAGAACAGUAGCAGUCCAAACCUCAUGAAAUAGCAGAGGGAGCGGCAUGCCCUAACCAGAAAAGAGGAAGGUUUGGCCUUGCCUAUUUGAAAUAUGUGGAAGGACCAAAGCCAUAAAAACAAUCUGCCCAUCUUAGGGCAGAGCCUCUUUUGAACUGUCAUUAUGGUUUUAGUAUGACUAUCCCCAGUAGUCUUCUAGAGUGUUUUCAUCUGAAUUUUGGUGAAGGAAUGUUUCAAAAGCACUCCAAAACCUACUGCCUUCCGACAGCGAUCUUAAUAGAGUUUGAAUGUCUAUGAAAGUAUGUUUUUAUUUCUUCUUAAGGUACUGGUGAAUUGGCCAGGAUUAACAUUUCAUACACACAGCUGUUCUUGAAUUUAAUUUCAUUGCUCCUAAAAAAAGUAACACAAGUGGCUCUUGUGCCAUCACUAAGUUCCCAGAAUACCAGUCCCCUUACAGGCGAGCAAGGGUCCUAUGGUGCCAGCAGGUGUAGGGAGAAAGGAUCAGCUUGUCUCAGGUAGUAACCUUUGUCUGGCUGGACUUAGGAGGAUUAACCCCUGCUGUUGACUCACAUAAUCAGCCACUUAGCACAUGAGCUUACCUCUGCGCUGAAUAUAUCCAAAAAGGCCAAGCCUCCAAGUACUGCAGAGUAUUUUUAGGUAGCAGCCGACGCAAAUGCCGCAUUAGCAAUUACGAGCAGGACGCACCAAAGACUUAUUGUAAAUCCUGACAGUGAGACAACGAGCAUGUUUUACUGUAUUUCACAUAAAGCUUUUUGGAUUAUUGGCUUAUUUUACUCCUACCAUGGCUGCAUAGUUUAAGAAGACAGGAUUAGACGUUGCUGUGUCUUUGCUGUAUUGCAAGCUUUGAGAUGCAUGUAUGCAUGUCUAUGCUAAGGUGAUGCAAGUGUGCUUACAGUAUGUCUGAGAGAGAGGAGUUUGCAAACAUUUCCUUGCCCAAAUGAGACAGUAGGUUCUGCAUAUGUUUUGUGUGCUUUUGUUAAUUGUUAUUUAUAUGCUACUGUACAUGACAACCUUGCCUUGAAGAUGUCAACUGCAAAUUGUGCAGUCAGUGUGACAACUGUGACCAUACUGAUCCCAUAAUCUAUUUUAUUGUAUUUGUAGCAUUUCAUAAGUAAAACCCCAACAUUGUCACAUAUCCUCUGGUGGAUAUUAACAGUGUAUUCUCACUGCAGCAUAAAUCUUUCUAUCAAAUCAAGUAUUGACAAAUCACUUGCUCCACUGUCAAAGGCAGAUUGAAAAUGUAGUAAGUGUUUGUUAGAUAUGUGAUGCUGAAAAAGUAUCCGUGAAGAGUAUAGUCCAUCUGCAUGGCACCCUGUACCAGUUAACUGUUACAGCAGCAUUACUGUUAUUUAUUUAUUUUUGCACGAUAAUCUUACAUGUUCAUAUUAAAGUGCCUCAUUGCACUUUGUGUAUAUAUAUAUCAUCUAUUAGACAGAAAUAUAUUUUGUUGAACUGGUGUGUAGGCUUUUGAAAUGGGUAGUUAUUGCUCAUUGUGUCUAAAAAUAGAAAAACAAACAUAUAUAUCCAUACAUUUAUACAAGUAAGGUUGUUUGUAAUUAAGUUUGGAUAGUUCAGAACUGGUGUUUGUAGUUCCACCUACAGUGUUCAUAUCCAUAUACUGUAUUUGGUCCAUAUGAAAUCUGGUUUAAAUGACGUAAAAAAUUACACACCAGAUAGAGAGAAAGAGAGAAAAUAAAUUGAAAAAAUACAAAAAAUAUUUUUCACUUGUCUAUGACAAAGUUGUCUUAGGCUCUCAGAAUGUGUGUUAUUGUCCCUUGGCUCUAGGGGGAAAAGUCAAAUGACUUUAAGAGUUGUCAGUGUUACCUGGGUAAUGUUUUGUAUGGCUCUUCACCAUGUAUACCAUGAUCAGAUUAGAGAGGGGUGGGGGAAAUGUAGAAGCUUGCUAACGUAUCUCUCUCACAGUAGUGGAGAUAUGUGUUCAGGCAGGGCCUGGCACAGGUGUAUGGGAAAGACAUUCCUCAUAGUGAAGGAUGUGCUUUGUUCUCUACGGCCAUCUUGAUCCACUUUUGUGUUCACAUAUUUGACCAGUAUGUAACUUGCAUACCAGGACCCACUUUUUAAAUUUGUCUUUUUCCUCUAUUUUUUCUAUGGUUAUGACAAAUGUAAAUAAAGACAAAUAUUGUCUCUAUUUUCUAUCUCUUUUUGAUGAAAAGCACUGUUUGUGCAGAAGCAUUUGCAGAUAUACUCUAUACUUUCAUGUCUUUUCAAGUUCACAUCAUAACUAGAGCCACAUUCAUACAACAGACUGGCGAGUGUGUGAGCCCUGUGCAUGUCUUUGUGCAUGCCAGUGUGAAUGUCUGUGUGUGUGUGCGUGUGUGGGUAUGUGUGUGUCUCUGUGAGUGACAGAGCAAAAGCAGACUUAUUUUUACUUUGCAACAACUGAACUAAUGUAUUAUAAUGUAUUUUACUGUGUUCAUACUGUAUAAUUCUGUAUAUCAAUAAAAGU